UGGCAGUUUAUCUAAUACCUAAUCAAUGCAGAAACAUGAAAGUCCGGCCCCUCACCUCAACUCAGGAUGGCUGUGAAAGGUCAACCCAUCUUCAGAACUCAGACAAAGCUUUCCAACCCCAGAGCAAGAAGUUUACAGAGACUUGGAGGCUGAGACCACCAUUUGGAGGCAGGAGGGCCGUGUGCACUCAGAAUAGAAGAAACUGUGCUCAGAGACAUGGAAGUGAGAGAGAGAGCAUGAAGCAGCGAGUGCCAGGAGAAGCAGAAAAGAACCAGGCAGUUCAAAGAAAGGGCAGAAAGGGCCAGACAACCUUCCAGUGUCUGUGAGACACAUCAACCUUGCUUGUGCUCUGCAUCUGUGACUGUCCCAUGUAUACAAUAAAC
rnacentral:lncRNA from 10 species